GUUUCGUCAUGAGGGCUGCCCAGUGAAUAAUCUGUGCAGUGUGAUACGGCUGGGUGUACAGGUUACUUCACAGCUGCCUUGACACGCUCAAGAAAUGGGUGCAGAACCCGCGUAAUGUCCACAGACUUUGACUACCACAGCACCUCCAGAAAGUAAAGGCAUGUGUGUCACAUGGGAUUUUUAAAGGCAUUCACAGUAUAUAAUACCUUGUAUGAACUGUUGUAGAUCUAAGCAGCCUCUACAGUACACUCUCAGAAAUUAAAACUUGUCAGGGAA